AGAACCUGAAACCGUGUACGUACAAGCAGUGGGAGCGCGCUUAGGCGUGUGACUGCGUACCUUUUGUAUAAUGGGUCAGCGACUUAUAUUCUGUAGCAAGGUUAACCGAAUAGGGGAGCCGAAGGGAAACCGAGUCUUAACUGGGCGUUAAGUUGCAGGGUAUAGACCCGAAACCCGGUGAUCUAGCCAUGGGCAGGUUGAAGGUUGGGUAACACUAACUGGAGGACCGAACCGACUAAUGUUGAAAAAUUAGCGGAUGACUUGUGGCUGGGGGUGAAAGGCCAAUCAAACCGGGAGAUAGCUGGUUCUCCCCGAAAGCUAUUUAGGUAGCGCCUCGUGAAUUCAUCUCCGGGGGUAGAGCACUGUUUCGGCAAGGGGGUCAUCCCGACUUACCAACCCGAUGCAAACUGCGAAUACCGGAGAAUGUUAUCACGGGAGACACACGGCGGGUGCUAACGUCCGUCGUGAAGAGGGAAACAACCCAGACCGCCAGCUAAGGUCCCAAAGUCAUGGUUAAGUGGGAAACGAUGUGGGAAGGCCCAGACAGCCAGGAUGUUGGCUUAGAAGCAGCCAUCAUUUAAAGAAAGCGUAAUAGCUCACUGGUCGAGUCGGCCUGCGCGGAAGAUGUAACGGGGCUAAACCAUGCACCGAAGCUGCGGCAGCGACGCUUAUGCGUUGUUGGGUAGGGGAGCGUUCUGUAAGCCUGUGAAGGUGUGCUGUGAGGUAUGCUGGAGGUAUCAGAAGUGCGAAUGCUGACAUAAGUAACGAUAAAGCGGGUGAAAAGCCCGCUCGCCGGAAGACCAAGGGUUCCUGUCCAACGUUAAUCGGGGCAGGGUGAGUCGACCCCUAAGGCGAGGCCGAAAGGCGUAGUCGAUGGGAAACAGGUUAAUAUUCCUGUACUUGGUGUUACUGCGAAGGGGGGACGGAGAAGGCUAUGUUGGCCGGGCGACGGUUGUCCCGGUUUAAGCGUGUAGGCUGGUUUUCCAGGCAAAUCCGGAAAA
rnacentral:rRNA from 1 species